UGGGGAAUAUUGGACAAUGGGGGCAACCCUGAUCCAGCAAUGCCGCGUGUGUGAAGAAGGUCUUCGGAUUGUAAAGCACUUUCGACGGGGACGAUGAUGACGGUACCCGUAGAAGAAGCCCCGGCUAACUUCGUGCCAGCAGCCGCGGUAAUACGAAGGGGGCUAGCGUUGCUCGGAAUGACUGGGCGUAAAGGGCGUGUAGGCGGUUUACACAGUCAGAUGUGAAAUCCCCGGGCUUAACCUG
rnacentral:rRNA from 1 species